CUCAGCCUGCAUUUCCUGUGCCCGAGCCUCUUCCAUGCCCGGCACCACCACCCACCGAGGUCCCGGGGUGCCCCUUCACACACAGCCCAACCAAGCCAAAAGCAUUCCUGUAAAUAUGUCUCGAGCAGGGGAGCCAGGCCCCAGUGAGCACCCUCCCCCGGGAUAUGCAAAUGUCUUAAUGUUCCUGCAAGGCGGUGAUGCCACCACCCUGGCUCCUUUCCCUUAUACGGUUUCCUGGAGAUCAUGCCGGUAAGAAACAGGAGAGGAACCUCUUUUGUCUUCACCCCUCUGAGAGGGAGCAAGAGGACAGCUCACCGAAGGUUAGGAGAAAGACAUUAGCAGAGGGAUCAUCAGACCUUGGGGUUGUUACUUCCUCCCCCAAACGCAAAGGCCAGGAGCCUUCAGUUCAGUCUUCACUCUGCCUUUUCUCUUGAAAAUUACAUAACCAGCCAGGGAGAACAAAGACUUUCCGGGCUUCCCAACGACACCGACAGAGCACGGAGACAAAUUCUGGCAGCCUCGCCCGGAGUGCCAAGCCCACGUCGGCGCAAAGCUGGGGAGGGGAGCAGUGUGGGUCCCUGCGUGUGACCUGUGGGUGCUGGUCGCCACUGGCUGCACAGGCUGGACCUGUCCAGGCUUGAGGCUGAAAGAAACCUGGGACAGCUGAAGACGUCUUUCAAAAUCGAAAUCAGGACACUUCUAACAUCCGUGGCGAAAUACGCUUCCAGAUCAUCACUGACAAACUCAGGAUGCGAAACGCGGAUUGUUUAUGAGACUGGGUGCAGGAUGCCUCCUCAGGCUCACUGGCCUACCGCCCUGCUUUAAGAAUGGCCACACCGAAAGAUCGCACCGCUGAGACGUCUCCUUAGGAACUAUUUUGCCUGGUCUCUUCUGGAAGCCUCAGCUGCUGCACACAGCUCUUUCACUGUUUGGUUGCCCCGUGGAUAGCAAUAAAAUCAAGAUGAAAACUCAUUUGCAAA